rnacentral:rRNA from 1 species
UACGAAGGUCCCAAGCGUUAUCCGGAUUCAUUGGGUUUAAAGGGAGCGUAGGCGGAUAGGUAAGUCAGUGGUGAAAUCCCAUCGCUUAACGAUGGAACUGCCAUUGAUACUGCUUAUCUAGAGUACAGUUGCCGUUGGCGGAAUAUGACAUGUAGUGGUGAAAUACUUAGAUAUGUCAUAGAACACCGAUUGCGAAAGGCAGCUAACGAAGCUGUAACUGACGCUGAGGCUCGAAAGUGCGGGGAUCAAACAGG